CUCGACAUAUAUACUCGCAACUUAGUCGACAACUGCUCUAGCUCUCUCAUUCUUUUGCCUAAUUAAACUCUAAACAGCCUAAAUCUGCCUCUCAUGUAUCAACCCUAAACCUAAAAUCGAUCUCAGUCUCUCCCUCUCGUUCUGCUCUGUUCGACUUCGGCGAAGAACGGCAGCUCAGGCAGUGCUCGUUCUGCUCUGUUCGAAAUAUUUGGAACAAAACAAGAUACCAAAAAAUAUCCUAAUCCAACAAAACUCAAACAAAACAAGCAAGAAUGAUGUUCAAAAAGUUGACACCUGCCUCGCUCCGCAGAAUUUUGGAUUGUGGUGGAUUCUAAGAAAGUGCUCUACUAAUGGAAGAAGUUGUAGAUUUUGGUACAAUGUCGCUCGAUUGUGGCUUUGGAUUGCAGCGACUAUGUUGCGGCUAGUAGAUUUUUAUUGAGGUGCUCUUAUCUGGUGUAGUAAUUUUAGAAGUUGCUAUCUCGAAGGAUUUACUUGUUUACUUGCUAUCUAGAAGUUGCUAUUUGGAAGGAUUUACUUGAUAUCUGGUUUAGGUGUUUACCUUCACAACCCGACAACCCUGCAGCCGUAUACCCUUCAUGAUCUGGUCAAUUGGUGUUGUGAGAGUCCACGCAUCACAAGAGGGCUCAAUCUAUUGUAUAGCAAAUAUAAAAUGUUUGGGGAAGUACUAAUAGAUUGGUCGAUCGGAUAUAAGCCAACAUCCAAGAUUGAUUAGAUUUUUAUAGAUUUGUGUAUGUUAUAUAUUUUAAAUUAUGUUAGAGAUUUUGUAUUAUCAACAAUUUACUAGUUGAAUUGUAUAUAUAUAUAUAUAAGUUAUUAAUUCUAUUAAAAUGA